rnacentral:lncRNA from 13 species
UCAUGUUAUUUUAUUCCUAUGAUGUGGUAGAUGGUUUCAUGUUAUUUUAUUCCUAUGAUGUGGUAGAUGGUUUCAUGUUAUUUUAUUCCUAUGAUGUGGUAGCUGGUUUCAUGUUAUUUUAUUCCUAUGAUGUGGUAGCUGGUUUCAUGUUAUUUUAUUCCUAUGAUGUGGUAGCUGGUUUCAUGUUAUUUUAUUCCUAUGAUGUACUAGAUGGUUUCAUGUUAUUUUAUUCAUAUGAUGUACUAGAUGGUUUCAUGUUAUUUUAUUCCUAUGAUGUGGUAGAUGGUAUCAUGUUAUUUUAUUCCUAUGAUGUGUAGCUGGUUUCAUGUUAUUUUAUUCCUAUGAUGUGGUAGCUGGUUUCAUGUUAUUUUAUUCCUAUGAUGUGGUAGCUGGUUUCAUGUUAUUUUAUUCCUAUGAUGUACUAGAUGGUUUCAUGUUAUUUUAUU